GCAACAGUUUAUCUAAAGACAGUUUGAGUUGGAGAACUGUUUUCGAGACGAGCCGUGGUUGCACGAUCCUUUAUCAUCGAAAAUCAUCCACCAUCCGAAGUUAAACAUCGAUUUUUACCUUCUAAAUACGUUGUAUAAAGAUUUUGGAGCACAUCCGGAAGGUUAAAUAAUCACUUCUACUGCCCUGCCUGGUGUGUGGUGGAUAAGAGGCUCAACUCAGUUUGAAUAGCAUUGGUCUUAUGUACAGUGAAUAUAUGGAUUAGCCCAG